rnacentral:rRNA from 1 species
CUACGGGGGGCACCAGUGGGGAAUAUUGCACAAUGGGCGCAAGCCUGAUGCAGCAACGCCGCGUGAGGGAUGAAGGCCUUCGGGUUGUAAACCUCUUUUAGCAGGGAAGAAGCGAAAGUGACGGUACCUGCAGAAAAAGCACCGGCUAACUACGUGCCAGCAGCCGCGGUAAUACGUAGGGUGCAAGCGUUGUCCGGAAUUAUUGGGCGUAAAGAGCUCGUAGGCGGUUUGUCACGUCUGCUGUGAAAAUCCAAGGCUCAACCCUGGACUUGCAGUGGGUACGGGCAGGCUAGAGUGCGGUAGGGGAGAUGGGAAUUCCUGGUGUAGCGGUGGAAUGCGCAGAUAUCAGGAGGAACACCGAUGGCGAAGGCACAUCUCUGGGCCGUAACUGACGCUGAGGAGCGAAAGCGUGGGGAGCGAACAGGAUUAGAUACCCUGGUAGUC